rnacentral:rRNA from 1 species
AUGGACUCUGAGGCUGAAUCUGAAGAAAAUGAGGAAGAGGAGGCAUCUGAGGAUUCCGAAUCCGGUGUGGCGAGCCUAGCCCUCGCUACUGCAUUCGUCAGCAAGUCUAUCUUCAACACUGAAGAAAAUGACCUCACCAACAAGGCUGAUGAAGGCAAUGAUGACUACGCUCCCACCUAUUGCUUCAUGGCAAAGGGUGCCAAGGUACUCAAAUAUACCUCCUCUGAAUCAAGUGAGAGUGAAUCUGAUGAAAACCUUAGGCCCAGCUAUUCUAAACUUGCUAAGAUUGCUGUGAAACAAUAA